rnacentral:lncRNA from 1 species
UGGGCCAGGGACUGAACCCGUGCCACAGCAGCAACCCAAAGCACUGCAGGACAACGACAGAUCCUUAACCCGCUGCACCAUAAGAGGACACUGAGGGUUUUUCUUUAUGUAAUAAAACAGAUAAUGAAUGCUUAUUGAACAGCAGGGUCGGAUAUUAACUUUUAGCCUCUGGAGAAAUAGAUGAUCCACACGUACUGAAAUCCUUGGGUAAAGGAUUAAUGGAGAAUGAGAGAGAACAUGCUAUCUAUCAGCUCAUAUAUUGUUUUGUGAUGGGCAAGGUUUGACAGGGAUCUGGAUGUCCAUGUGUUGACCAGAUGAUUACUCAUGGCAACAUUAUGGUGGGAGGACCAGCCGUUUGGACGCCUUUUGAUUUGAAAUCUUACAAAUGCACAGCAUCGCCUGUGAUGUAUGAGUGUCAAACAUAUUUAAACAUUAUUAUGUCAACAGCCACAUGCCAACUGGACUACUUUUUUCAACAAUUCAACAUUACAGAAUAAGUGGAGAGAGAUUUAAGAGUCCAGCAGUAAAAUGUAAUUUAUAAUUCUUGCUUGUAUCUUGUUUUAAACAAAAAAAUGUACAAAAUAUACUUUAGAAAAAAUAGCAGAUAUUCAAAUAUGGGCUAUGAAUUAGACGGGACUAGGACAUUAGUGUUAAAAUGUCAUCAUGAAACUACACUUCAUUUUUUAGAAGUGUAUAACUGAAAUAUUUGAGGGUGAAAUAUCAAGAUGUCUGUGAUUGUAUUUAAAAUUAUUUAGAAAAAAAUCAAUGAAGCAUAGCUAGCUAACAUUUGCUGCCACUAGUAUGAAAUAUUAUUUUUAAUAUUUUCUUCAUAUUUUCCCUUUACUGUAUGUUUGAGGAUUUUCCUAAUAAAAAAAUAAAGGAAUCUUCAAUGAACAUCUAAAAUAAUUAACUACCUCUUAUUGGCAUAAUGAAAAGAAGGAAAGGAGGAAAGGGAAGAUGGAUCACAAGUUUAAGGAAAACUUCGCAUUGUUUUAUAACGCUUAACAUUUUUUUCAUAAGCCUUUGGUCCAUAAGUCUUGUGUUUGUUUGUUUGUUUAUUUUGUCUUUUUGUCUUUUGGGGCCGCUCUGGCAGCAUAUGGAGGUUCCCAGGCUAGGGGAUGAAUUGAAGCUAUAGCUGCCGGCCUAUGCCAGAACGACAGCAAGCCGUGAUCUGAGCUGUGUCUGCGAACUACACAACAGCUCACAGCAACGCCAGAUCCUUAACCCACUGAGCGAGGCCAUCCUCAUGGAUGAUAGUGGGUUUGUUAACCACUGAGCCACAAUGGGAACUCCUAGACCAUAAGUUUUAUUUAAGCAUAUUUUCCAUUAGUAUCUCCCUAUCACCAUAUUUCUGCUUUGUGCCUGAGCUUUGGCUCUGCUCAAUCUGGUUAUAUCUUUUCCGUACCACAUGUUAUUUUUGAGAACUUCCAGUUUCAAUUUCUUGACUUAAUAUUUCAAUGCCCAAAUUCUUUAUUAAUGCCUCAUAAAUGGACACUACCCUUGCUUGCUUCUGUCUGAAUAUAGAAACUAAUCCAUUUCAUGUAAGGAGAACAACAGAGAGUGGUAUCUUAUGCCAACCCAAUUUACAGUAUAACUUGCAAACUCAAUUGCAAUCUGUGUUUCUAAAGUAUAGGCUUCUGCCUAAUAAUAUGGUUUUACAAUCGAAGAAAAUUGAUCUCACUGUUCUGCAUAAAUUGCCAAAAGUAGAGUCUAGGGGUAAUCACACUAGCUGGUACCAUUUGUAAAGACUCAGUAUAUUAUCCAAGCUAUGCUAAAUGUGUGAGAUAAAUUAUGCCCACUUCACAGAUGCAUAAACUGAGAAUCAUAAGUCAACCAACUUGCCUAAGGUCAAUUUUCUAAAAGAUACCUGAGUUAGAUUUUUUAUUUCAGCUCUCUGUCUCUAAAAGUAAUGCACUUUUCUUGCCGUAAAAGAUUCUAUUUUCAGUUAAGAAAAUAUUCAGUUUGCAUAACUAAAAGUAACAUUAUUUACCAUUAGAAUGAUGGUUGCAGUAUGAUUUCCAAGACAUAGAUGAACCCAUUAUGCUAUAUAGCAUUUUACUUUGUUUUCUGUUACAACUGCAAGUUGAGAAUAGUAACAUCCUCAGGCGAUUGCAGGCCUUUGUCAGCAAGUUUCCAGAGGACUGCACACCAGGGUUAUGAAGGGAUCCUCUAUGAUUAAUGUCACAGAGACCCAUAGCAACCUCAGUCAGA